CCUAUCGGGUGGCAGCAGUAGGGAAUAUUGCUCAAUGGGGGAAACCCUGAAGCAGCAACGCCGCGUGGAGGAUGAAGGUUUUCGGAUUGUAAACUCCUUUUGUUAGAGAAGAUAAUGACGGUAUCUAACGAAUAAGCACCGGCUAACUCCGUGCCAGCAGCCGCGGUAAUACGGAGGGUGCAAGCGUUACUCGGAAUCACUGGGCGGAAAGGGAACGGAGGCGGGAUAGCAAGUAAGAUGUGAAAUCCUAUGGCUUAAACGUAGAACUGCAUUUGAAACUGUCAUUCUAGAGUAUAGGAGAGGUAGGUGGAAUUCUUGGUGUAGCGGUAAAAUCCGUAGAGAUCAAGAGGAAUACUCAUUGCGAAGGCGACCUGCUAGAACAUAACUGACGCUGAUGCGCGAAAGCGUGGGGAGCAAACAGGAUUAGAUACCCCUGUAGUC
rnacentral:rRNA from 1 species